rnacentral:rRNA from 1 species
CCUACGGGUGGCAGCAGUGGGGAAUAUUGCACAAUGGGGGAAACCCUGAUGCAGCGACGCCGCGUGAGCGAUGAAGUAUUUCGGUAUGUAAAGCUCUAUCAGCAGGGAAGAAAAUGACGGUACCUGACUAAGAAGCCCCGGCUAACUACGUGCCAGCAGCCGCGGUAAUACGUAGGGGGCAAGCGUUAUCCGGAUUUACUGGGUGGAACGGGAGCGUAGACGGUCCUGCAAGCCAGAUGUGAAAGCCCGGGGCUUAACCCCGGGACUGCAUUUGGAACUGUAAGGCUAGAGUGGCGGAGAGGCAGGCGGAAUUCCGAGUGUAGCGGUGAAAUGCGUAGAUAUUAGGAGGAACACCAGUGGCGAAGGCGGUCUGCUGGACGAUGACUGACGUUGAGGCUCGAAAGCGUGGGGAGCAAACAGGAUUAGAUACCCUGGUAGUC